AUUCGUUGUGAGGUCUUUGCUCUUCUGAUAAAGUGGUGAAAAAUAAUACAAUAUUAUUGGAUGAGCAAAAACAGAUUUUGCACAUUCCUCCACUAGUGUAGAAUCGUCCCGAUUUUCUUUCGCAAGAUGUAAUAGAGAUAUUAAAAGAAUUUUAUAUUUACUGAUUUGAAUCGUUGAUAAAAGUCCUCGUUUAGCAAAUUGUGUUAAAUAAAAUACGGUCAUCUUGAAUAGGCACAUGAUUUCGUAUGCUGAUAAAGAAUGUUGAAUUUUAAUAACUUCAUUAUUAUACGUAAAAGUCACUGUAUUGUCACCGCUAAAUACUUCGUUUAUCUGUAUGUUAGUAUUAUCUAACAAUAAUCGAUUCAAUUUACAUAAUAAAUCCAUAGACGGAAUUACUUCUUCAAUAUAAAUAGGGUCAUUGCCCUCUGACCAGCUUUGUAAAUAUUUCUGAACUGGUAAAUCCUGUAUAUUUCUUGUCAAAUGUAUUAUGCUCUGUGGCAAAGCUUGAUAGUGUAAUGUAUGAAUUAAUACAUAAGAAGCAUACGAUAAUAUUGCAGGAUCUACAUUUUUCUCCAUUUUAUGUAACAUGCAACACAGCAAAGGCGAUAUCGACGUAAAGCGUUGCAUAUGUAAAAUAUUAUUUUCUGAACUUUUAUGAGUAGUAUUUUUAUCCAUCAAUUCUGAAAAAUAGACAUAUAUUAUAAUAUAUACAAAUGAGGUAUAAAUUAUAUCUACUAUUUAAAUAAGUCUUACCAUUAAAUAUAUCUUCUAACCGUCCAGCAUAAAUGACUCCUUCGCUAAUAGUUUCGUCUGUUUUUAUAAUUUCAUCUACAUAUCUCUCCAUAUUUUUUGCAACCUUUUUUAAAAGACGAACAAACCAAUCAACUACUUCCUGCUUUUUAUCUAGAUUUAUGAAACCAUUGAUCCAAAUAUCUAAAUGAUCACUGCAUCCUUCAAACAUACCGGUAACGUUCAGUAACAUCUUUAUCGUUGAUUUUAUACUUGAUACAUCGAAGGUGUCUUCAUUAUUCAAAAGAGACAGUAGAAAUGUUAAUGCGUCGGUAAAUACUUUCUAAAUGGACAAAAGAUUUUAAAUAAGAAAAGACAGAAUAUAGAUCAAAUAAAAAUUAAUUAAAAAAAUUCAAGGUUUUCCUCACUUUUUGCGGUAAAAAUUCAGCAGGAUUCAGAAUGAUUAAAAACUGUAUAGCUUUCACUUGUAUAGUGUUAAGCUGAAGAAUAUCAACAUCUUGUAAUGUAUUUAAUGGACUUAAAAAUGUAGUGGCCGGUAUAUGUAACAAUGCAUGCAAUAAUUUCGGACAUAUUUCAUUGUACAGGUGUAAUAAGUUUAAAAUGGCUAACAAAUGUUCAUCUUUCUUUGGUUCUGGAAUGCAUUCUUUGUUUGUACUGUCAUGUUCAAUUUCAUUUGGUACAAAUACGUAACUCCACACAUCCAAUAUUGUAUUUAUAUUGGGUGCAUUCUGAAAUGUAAAAAGAUUUAUUUUGUUGUAGUAAAUUUGUAGUUAUUUUGUUUUUAUACAUUAUGUUAUCUAUUCAAGUAAUAAAGACAUACCUUCAGGAUAUAUUCUAACAUAGAGUUUUUAAAAGUAUAAAAAUCAGUAUAUUCGUUGUAAUUUACUUUUGCAGCUAACAAAAACUUUUGUAUUUGAUUAAACAUUGUUAUAAGUGUAAGUACUGCUUCAUGUCUGACUACUAUACUUGAAUGCAUUAAAGAUGGUAAAAUUGCAUGUUUUAAUACUGUCCCUGAUAGAAGUAACGACAUUACUGCAGAAGCUAACUGAGAUACAUUUAAUUCCACUGAACAUAUUCUAAAGCAAACCUCUGGAUCUAACGAUACUAUUAUCUGUAACGAAAAGUAAAGUGAAUAUCUUGAAACACACAUUGAAUUACAAGUUUCAAUAUCAUAUAAAUUUUACAUAUUUAUUAUCAUUACCUCCCUCACAAAUUUCAUUACUGCAAUCCAUUUCGUUGAUAGUCUUGCUUCAAGAUGUUGUUCUAACAGUGUAAACUGUGAUUUAAUUAAAUCUGGACAUGCAGUCACUAUUCGGAUUACCAAAUCCGAUGGUUUCUCAUGUUCCCAAGGACGGUCCAAACUUUGAAGUAUUAUAUUCACUAACUGAUUAUGUUUAGUACGUGAUGUACCAAGUGUAUGAUCAUGGAAUAUAAUUCCAUAUCGAUGAGAUGUUAAUAAUACAGUUAAAAAGUCAUGUACUAUUUCAUUUAUAAUCUGAAAGUAAAACAUUUUAUAAUUUACAUAAUAGAAAAACAUUUUUAAUAGAAGACGUUUAAUUAAAACAUGGUAUUAACAAAUGUAAAUACCUUUUUAUCUUCAAGAUAUUCUGGAUUUUCGGUAAAAGAAUUUUGUGUUUUAUUUCCUGGCCAAUUAUUUGGACCUUUCCAAUUAUAGAGAUACACAAGGUUUUGAAUGACCGAUGUUGUGAAUAUAUGUAAUUUCAUAGUCUUACUAAUUUUCGAAUUUUGAAGAAUAUGAAUCUUCAAUGUGGUUACUAUCAAAGCAACAAUAUCUUUGGAAUCAUAUAUCAAAUCAGGAAAUAUACUAGAAAAUAGACCAUGUUUAUUCAAUAGAGCUCUAAUGGACGAUACAUUUCCUUCUAUCAAGAAAGCAAGAAUGAAAUGGAUGAAACAAUUUCUUAUAUUCUGACUAUCUGUGGGCUUUGUGUGCCUUGCAAGAGAUUUAAUAAGUUCUGGUUCUAAAGAAAGAUGAGCAAUCAAUUCCCGUGGCAGACUACGACCUAAUGAAACUACUGCAGCUAACAAUUGCAGGAUAAUUUUUCGUUGUUUUGCAUUACUUUGAAUAGAAAGCAUAGAAUGCACUAAUGGUAGGUGCGAGUUAAUUAAGUGCCUACAUGCUCCUUCUGCACUGGAUUGAUAUUGUGGAUACUCUGCCAUAAUUCUGAGAAUGCAUACAGAAAUUAAUACAUAUUUAUACUAUAAUAUAAACAUUUAUAUAAUACUUAAGUAUACAUACUUUAACAAUAUUAUUCUUGUUGCAGAAAAAACAACAGUGGAAGAACCAAUACUUUUCUUAUCUGUGUUAUCUAAUAAUCUUAACAAUUCAAGAAUAUUGCCACCUGCAUUUAAAUAUUCUGCAGCCAUAUCUCUUUCUUUGUUCUCAUUAUGAGACUUGACAAACUGUCGUAAACACUCUAAACCAUUGAUAGAAUUAAAAGAAGCCCGCAUGGAUUUCCCAUCUACUGGAUUAUUAAUGUCUUUAUUAUCUUCUACAUUUUCUUCAUCAUUGUCAAUACGUUUUGUACCUAGAAAAUAUUUUGUUACUAUGUUUAUAAUAAUCAUUUUAUCUAUUUUUCAGAAUGAUAAUGAAAGAAGGUCUAGAACGUUAAGGAGGAAUAAUACUUGCCAAAUGGAGGAAGCAGAAGCCUUGAUAAAUAAGUGUUAACAAAGUGAUAAAAAAUAGUCAAAAUUAUAAACAAUGUUCAGUUUGGUCAACACUUGGUUUACAUAAAAUGCUAGAUAUUACAUAAAAAUAACAGAUUACCUUAACAGCUUUUUUAUUCAUAAUUAUAGACAAUUUUCUACAUGUCUAUCUCUUUCUGCUAUCAGACAAGUAUUAUCUAUCCUUGAUAUUCCAAAACUUUUUUCAACCAUCCUAUCCACCCUAUGUAAUAAAAUGUUCUAGACAUUUCAAGCGCAUCUGGCUCACAUUUCCUUCUACGCUUUUUAACGACUCCAUAUUCUUUCGAGGGAACCUUUCUAUCCCCACCAUUCUACUGCGCAUCCACCUUCGCGCAAUUGCUUUGGAAAGAAAACGGGAGAUGAUCAAGAAAAUCAGAACGAACUUGAGCUCCGCUGAUCAUAACCACAAUUACAGUGUUCCCACGAACGGAAGCCUAAACCAUCUCAAUUUACCGUGCUUCCAGUGGUCUUCCUCGCGUAUUGUUUCGUAAGAAAGCGAGCCAUAUCGAAUAUCCCUUUCAUUAUUAUAAAGUGAUUGCAAAAUAGAAUAAGAACUGCUGUAAUGUGUGAAAAUAAAAGUACUAUAAAACCCAA